rnacentral:ncRNA from 1 species
AUAUUUAUAUAGUAAUAAAUAAUUGUUUAUAAAGGCUCUUUAUGUUAUUUUAAAUUUCUUAAAAAUAGAAGAUAUAUUUACUAGUUUUGUUAAUUAAAAGGUAGGCUUUUGUUUAAUUCUGGCGAAGCCUGUGCCAGCCGCCGCGGUUAUACAGGCAGGGUAAAAAUAUUUAUUUUAUGGAAAAAUUUUUUUUUUUGUUUUUUAGAUUAUUAAGGUGAAAUUUUUAUUGGUUUAAAGUUGAAAUGUUUUCGGAAAUUUUUUAUAUAAAAUUAGGAUUAGAUACCCUAUUAUUAAGUAUAUGUAAUAUUGGUAUUAACUUUAGUUUUGUUUAAAUCUAAAGAUUUUGGCGGUAUUUUAAGCCUUUUAGAGAAAUUUAUUCUUUAAUUGAUGUGACUCAGGUAUCUUACUUAUUCUUGUAAAGACAGUUUGUAUAUCGCUAUCAUUAAAUGAUAUUGGUUGAUUAUUAUUGGGAUUAAUUUUUAUUAUGAAUGUUAGGUCAAAAUGCAGCUAAAGAUUAAGGUUGAAAUAAAUUGCGAUAAUUUGUAUUGGUUAUAUACUGAAAGUUUAUUAAAGGAUUUAAUAGUAAGUUGAUAAAUAUUAUGUUUAGCUGAAUUUGGCUCUAAAAUAUGUACAUAUCGCCCGUCACUCUCUUUAGGAGACAAGUCGUAACACAGUAAAUGUACCGGAAGGUGUUUU